rnacentral:rRNA from 1 species
AUUGAACGCUGGCGGCAUGCUUUACACAUGCAAGUCGAACGGCAGCACGGGCUUCGGCCUGGUGGCGAGUGGCGAACGGGUGAGUAAUAUAUCGGAACAUACCCAGAAGUGGGGGAUAACGUAGCGAAAGUUACGCUAAUACCGCAUACGAUCUAUGGAUGAAAGCAGGGGACCGCAAGGCCUUGUGCUCCUGGAGCGGCCGAUAUCUGAUUAGCUAGUUGGUGAGGUAAAGGCUCACCAAGGCGACGAUCAGUAGCUGGUCUGAGAGGACGACCAGCCACACUGGAACUGAGACACGGUCCAGACUCCUACGGGAGGCAGCAGUGGGGAAUUUUGGACAAUGGGCGCAAGCCUGAUCCAGCAAUGCCGCGUGAGUGAAGAAGGCCUUCGGGUUGUAAAGCUCUUUUGUCAGGGAAGAAACGGUAGAGGCUAAUAUCCUUUGCUAAUGACGGUACCUGAAGAAUAAGCACCGGCUAACUACGUG